rnacentral:rRNA from 1 species
GAUCCUGGCUCAGAUUGAACGCUGGCGGCAGGCUUAACACAUGCAAGUCGAACGGUAACAGGAGAAAGCUUGCUUUCUUGCUGACGAGUGGCGGACGGGUGAGUAAUGCUUGGGAAUCUGGCUUAUGGAGGGGGAUAACGACGGGAAACUGUCGCUAAUACCGCGUAGAGUCGAGAGACGAAAGUGCGGGACCGCAAGGCCGCAUGCCAUAGGAUGAGCCCAAGUGGGAUUAGGUAGUUGGUGGGGG